UUCUCGAUGUUUAGUUGAAAUCUCCUUUCUUGCGACUUGAAUCCAUUGGUUCAGGCCCUACUGUCCGGUGCAGGAGAAAGCAAGCUUGUUCCAUCUUCCACAUGACAACCCUUGGGAUAUUUGAAGAUGGCUAUCAUAUCUUCUCUCAGACUCCUCUUUUUUCCAGGCUAAACAUACCCAGUUCCCUCAA